GAAAACUGAUCGAACGUAUUUCUCCGUAUUUGGCUUCUCUUAUCUUUACAAAACAAAUUAUCAAAUAUGACAGUGUAUCUUGAACAUCGGAGCAAUGCUUUACACUCGUCUAAUUGGGGGUAUUAUGAACCGGAAGAGAACUCAGACCGAAGGGUCAGAUGCUUCUGACCACUUCGUUUCGGUCAACGAAAGACCUGUCGACGAUAUUAGUCUUGAAUUUUUCUACAAACCUCACACAAUUACCCUUCUAGUCGCCUGCAUAUCUGGAAUAACAUACACUGCAUUUGCUAGAGAUGAGACAGUUGAUUAUCACAGUAACCUGUAUACUGGGUUAGUUGGAGUAUCAAUUAUAUUUUUGAUAAUAUCUAUUCUCACCCUUCCGAACGGUCCAUUCACUAGACCCCACCCUGCAAUAUGGAGAUGUGUUCUAGGGAUGUCUAUAAUGUAUUUGCUACUACUACAAUUCAUGAUUCAUCAAGACUGGGCAACAAUAAGAUCCGUUAUUGUCUGGAUAGAUCCUAAGAUGGCAAACUAUUCCAUAGACGCUGAAAAGGAGUACGGUCAGGAUUGUUGGGAUAUCACCUUCGAACGACUCUACUCCCACGUCGAUGUUUUCGCUUUCGGGCACUACUGGGGCUGGGGGAUGAAGGCUCUCGUAAUCCGUCACUACGGGAUCCUCUGGUCUAUUUCUAUAAUGUGGGAGCUAACUGAGGUUAUGUUCGGACAUCUUCUUCCAAACUUUUACGAGUGCUGGUGGGAUAAUAUGAUUCUAGAUGUCAUGAUCUGCAAUGGAUUGGGUAUUUUCACUGGAAUGCAGGUCUGUAGGUUUCUGGAGAUGAGAGAAUAUAAAUGGGAGAGCAUUAAAAACAUACAAACCACAACCGGAAAAUUCAAAAGAGCUAUGCUUCAAUUCACUCCGGAAUCCUGGACUCAUGUUAGAUGGCUAGACCCCAACUCCAGCUAUAUGCGUCUUAUUGCUAUUAUUCAGUUUAUUCUAAUCUGGCAGGUUGUAGAGUUGAACACGUUCUUUAUAAAACACAUAUUCCCGAUGCCAACUGAACACCCAAUCUGUGUUGCUAGGAUUCUAUUAAAUGGUUUAAUCUCAGCUCCAGCUAUUAGACAGUAUUACACCUAUGUGACGGAUCCCCAGUGUAAGAGGGUCGGAACCCAGCUCUGGGUCUUCAUGAUGAUUGCGCUGAGUGAGUUGAUUCUUGUACUCAAGUUUGGUUUGGAUAUAUUCUCGCACACCCAGAUAUCUAAGAUGUUGGUCUGGUUGUGUCUCAACAUAAUUGUUAGCGUUCUCGGAGUUUUUGUAAGCAUGGAGGUAUUCAAGUGGCGACACAAUAAAUCCGAAUCGGCUCCGCCCCAGGAUGAAGUGGCGGAAGAUGAGAUGGUUUCCCGACUUCUCAACUCCGCCGGAGAACCUGCCGUUCGCAGAAGUCCUCGGCACGCGGGAAAACCGGAAUUAAAAGUUCGGAAACGAAAUGUCCAACUUCCUCCUUAAGUUGAGAGGGAUUACGACUUUCUUGUUUGUGCCAAAAAAUGUGCUAAAUUCGUAUUCUUUAUAUCUUGAGGCAUUAUCAGUGUUUAGGAUAUUAUGAAUCCAGACCGCGGCUCAAAUUUUUUAAAUUCGGCCUCUGAAUACAUUAAUUAAAUUUCUUCUAGUUCAUAUCGGUUCUAGCCAAUUAGUCCAAUUUGUGAAUAUAGAAGUAAAAGUAAGGAAAUCAUAUUCGUGACCCGCUAGUUUCCUUAAUCUUUUAUCUCAACUCAUUAGCCAAAAGAGUGAUAUCUAGAGCUCUUUGACGAUACACCGAGUUUAUCAGGAAGAAAUUUCAAUCUUUUUGGCUUUUUUCACUUUUGUUGAGACAACAUUAAGAAUGGCGUUUGUAUUUUUAAUUCUCUUAUUUUGCGGUUUUUGAAUUUUUAUUUGCUUUGUUUGUUGCCUUUAAAUUUUUAAUUUGUAAGAACAACUUUUAAUGUUUGUAGAAUUCAACUUGUUUUCAAAAGAAAUAUCUCUCUCUUAAACAAUAAACAUCCUGCCCCCCACCUGCUCUCAGUAUACAAUUUUGAUUUUGUCAACAUUUUUGUUCUCUCUCAGAUAAUAUUUGAAUUUAGGCAACCCUCGUAUGAAAAAAUCACAGGUCGGAACUGUUGUGGUGGGAAGUAUCGUUAAUCUUGAACGCUUAAUCUCGACUAAUACGUUGGUCUGCAAUAAGAUCUAAGUUUAUCCUGAGUUUCACAACACACAAGUUCUGACUUCAGUUUAUGUUUUUUAAACAAUGUUAUGAAGGAACAAAAGAUUAAAAAUGUUCCUGCUCCUGAAGAACUUUAUGAAAAUAGUCGAUCAAAUUUAAAUUGUAAUGAACUUCCGUUGUGAUGUACUGUACAUGUGACCGUUCAAUGAAAUAUGACUUCUUAUUGUGUAUGUAUUAUGUUUUAUUAAACUUCAUAGAUAUAUAUAUGUUCAUGUUUUUAAAUGAUAUUAAAACUCGAAAUAAUUAA